ACGGGAGGCAGCAGUGGGGAAUUUUGCGCAAUGGGGGGAACCCUGACGCAGCAACGCCGCGUGCGGGAUGGAGGCCUUCGGGUUGUAAACCGCUUUCAGCAGGGAAGACAACGACGGUACCUGCAGAAGAAGCUCCGGCUAACUACGUGCCAGCAGCCGCGGUAAUACGUAGGGGGCGAGCGUUAUCCGGAUUCAUUGGGCGUAAAGCGCGCGUAGGCGGCUGCCUAAGCGGAGUUUCUAACCUUGGGGCUCAACCUCAAGCCGGACUCCGAACUGGGCGGCUCGAGUGCGGUAGGGGCAGGCGGAAUUCCAAGUGUAGCGGUGAAAUGCGCAGAUAUUUGGAGGAACACCGAUGGCGAAGGCAGCCUGCUGGGCCGUCACUGACGCUGAGGCGCGAAAGCUGGGGGAGCGAACAGGAUUAGAUACCCUGGUA
rnacentral:rRNA from 1 species